AUGAUUUCAAAGAUACAUUGCUUUUUAGCAGGUGCUAUUGCAGUUGGAAUGUCAGAAAAAGUAAUGCUUCACCACAUCUGUAAAAGAGAAAUAACUUGUUUGAUGUUUUCCAUAAAGGAGAGGAUGCUUUCAGAAUGUGGAAGCAAUAAUAGAGGAGGAAACUGGAUGUUCUGUAACGUGUUGUAACUGUUCUCAUUAGAAGAUAUUCCCAGCUGUAGGAUAGAACAAGAAGCUGGAAUGACAAUAGAGCAGAGGCCUGCAAAGGAUAGCUGUCACAUAAAAUACAGUGUCAGAGAAAAACACUUUCUGGUAAGUACCUACUUAUCUAACUUCUUAAAGAUCUAAAUAC
rnacentral:lncRNA from 1 species